rnacentral:rRNA from 1 species
GGAGUGGUAGCGGAGCGUUCCGUAAGCCUGCGAAGGUGCACUGCGAGGUGUGCUGGAGGUAUCGGAAGUGAGAAUGUUGACAUGAGUAGCGACAAAGCGGGUGAGAGACCCGCUCGCCGAAAAUCCAAGGGUUCCUGCGUAAAGCUAAUCUGCGCAGGGUUAGCCGGCCCCUAAGGCGAGGCCGAAAGGCGUAGCCGAUGGGAACCACGUUAAUAUUCGUGGGCCUGGGAGUGUGUGACGGAUUUCGAAAGUUGUCAUCCCCUUAUCGGAUUGGGGUGGCAGCCUGGAAGUCCCAGGAAAUAGCCCUCCCAUAUAGACCGUACCCUAAACCGACACAGGUGGAUAGGUAGAGAAUACCAAGGCGCUUGAGAGAACUAUGCUGAAGGAACUCGGCAAAUUGCCUCCGUACCUUCGGAAGAAGGAGGCCCUGGAUCGACGCAAGUCUUUUCAGGGGGCACAGGCCAGGGGGUAGCGACUGUUUACUAAAAACACAGGGCUCUGCGAAGCCGUCCAGGCGACGUAUAGGGUCUGACGCCUGCCCGGUGCCGGAAGGUUAAAAGGAGGGGU